GAUGAACGCUAGCUACAGGCUUAACACAUGCAAGUCGAGGGGUAACGAGAGGAAAGCUUGCUUUCCUUGUCGACGACCGGCGCACGGGUGAGUAACGCGUAUCCAACCUGCCCCCAACUAGGGAAUAACCUUGCGAAAGUAAGACUAAUACCCUAUAAUUUCCUCAGAUGUCAUCUGACGAGGAAUAAAGAUUUAUUGGUUGUUGAUGGGAUGCGUCUGAUUAGCUUGUUGGCGGGGUAACGGCCCACCAAGGCAACGAACAGUAGGGGUUCUGAGAGGAAGGUCCCCCACAUUGGAACUGAGACACGGUCCAAACUCCUACGGGAGGCAGCAGUGAGGAAUAUUGGUCAAUGGGCGGAAGCCUGAACCAGCCAAGUAGCGUGCAGGAUGACGGCCCUAUGGGUUGUAAACUGCUUUUAUACAGGAAUAAAGUUAGCCACGUGUGGUUAUUUGUAGGUACUGUAUGAAUAAGGACCGGCUAAUUCCGUGCCAGCCGCCGCUGUAA
rnacentral:rRNA from 1 species